UAAAUACUCCCUCCGUCCGGAAAUACUGGUCCUAGAAAUGAAUGUAUCUAGACUUAUUUUAGUUAUAGAUAGAUCCAUUAUAUCCAUUUCUAGGACAAGUAUUUCCGGACGGAGGGAGUAGAAU
rnacentral:pre_miRNA from 1 species